rnacentral:rRNA from 1 species
GCUCAGAUUGAACGCUGGCGGCAGGCUUAACACAUGCAAGUCGAGCGGAGAUGAGGUGCUUGCACCUUAUCUUAGCGGCGGACGGGUGAGUAAUGCUUAGGAAUCUGCCUAUUAGUGGGGGACAACAUUCCGAAAGGAAUGCUAAUACCGCAUACGUCCUACGGGAGAAAGCAGGGGAUCUUCGGACCUUGCGCUAAUAGAUGAGCCUAAGUCGGAUUAGCUAGUUGGUGGGGUAAAGGCCUACCAAGGCGACGAUCUGUAGCGGGUCUGAGAGGAUGAUCCGCCACACUGGGACUGAGACACGGCCCAGACUCCUACGGGAGGCAGCAGUGGGGAAUAUUGGACAAUGGGGGGAACCCUGAUCCAGCCAUGCCGCGUGUGUGAAGAAGGCCUUAUGGUUGUAAAGCACUUUAAGCGAGGAGGAGGCUACUGAGACUAAUACUCUUGGAUAGUGGACGUUACUCGCAGAAUAAGCACCGGCUAACUCUGUGCCAGCAGCCGCGGUAAUACAGAGGGUGCGAGCGUUAAUCGGAUUUACUGGGCGUAAAGCGUGCGUAGGCGGCUUUUUAAGUCGGAUGUGAAAUCCCCGAGCUUAACUUGGGAAUUGCAUUCGAUACUGGGAAGCUAGAGUAUGGGAGAGGAUGGUAGAAUUCCAGGUGUAGCGGUGAAAUGCGUAGAGAUCUGGAGGAAUACCGAUGGCGAAGGCAGCCAUCUGGCCUAAUACUGACGCUGAGGUACGAAAGCAUGGGGAGCAAACAGGAUUAGAUACCCUGGUAGUCCAUGCCGUAAACGAUGUCUACUAGCCGUUGGGGCCUUUGAGGCUUUAGUGGCGCAGCUAACGCGAUAAGUAGACCGCCUGGGGAGUACGGUCGCAAGACUAAAACUCAAAUGAAUUGACGGGGGCCCGCACAAGCGGUGGAGCAUGUGGUUUAAUUCGAUGCAACGCGAAGAACCUUACCUGGCCUUGACAUACUAGAAACUUUCCAGAGAUGGAUUGGUGCCUUCGGGAAUCUAGAUACAGGUGCUGCAUGGCUGUCGUCAGCUCGUGUCGUGAGAUGUUGGGUUAAGUCCCGCAACGAGCGCAACCCUUUUCCUUACUUGCCAGCAUUUCGGAUGGGAACUUUAAGGAUACUGCCAGUGACAAACUGGAGGAAGGCGGGGACGACGUCAAGUCAUCAUGGCCCUUACGGCCAGGGCUACACACGUGCUACAAUGGUCGGUACAAAGGGUUGCUACACAGCGAUGUGAUGCUAAUCUCAAAAA